GACGAACGCUGGCGGCGUGCCUAAUACAUGCAAGUAGGACGCAGUUGCGAACGGGUGAGUAACGCGUAGGUAACUACCUAUUAGAGGGGGAUAACUAUUGGAAACGAUAGCUAAUACCGCAUACUAGUAGAUGGACCUGCGUUGUAUUAGCUAGUAGGGAGGGUAAUGGCCUACCUAGGCAACGAUACAGAGCCGACCUGAGAGGUGGAUCUGACACACUGGUACUGAGACACGGCCCAGACCCCUUCGGGAGGCAGUAGUAGGGAAGCUUCGGAAAUUGGGGGAACCCUGACCGAGCAACGCCGCGUGAGUGAAGAAGGUUUUCGGAGCGUAAAGCUCUGUUGUUAAGGAAGCGGUACUUAACCAGAAAGGGACGGCUAACUACGUGCCAGCCGCCGCGGUAAUUC
rnacentral:rRNA from 1 species